AAACAUCCUCACUGAAGUCGGGUUUCGUUAGCAGCGGGCUGUUUUAAUAAAUUCAACAAGUUCGUUGUCGACGAAACCUGCAUGCUGUGUGGAAAAU
ensembl:ncRNA mir-981 mir-981 stem loop